AGCGAACGCUGGCGGCAGGCUUAACACAUGCAAGUCGAACGGGCUUCUUCGGAAGUCUGUGGCAGACGGGUGAGUAACACGUGGGAACGUGCCCUUCGGAUCGGAAUAACCCAGGGAAACUUGCGCUAAUACCGGAUACGCCCUAUUGGGGAUAGGUUUACUGCCGAAGGAUCGGCCCGCGUCUGAUUAGCUUGUUGGUGGGGUUACGGCCUACCAAGGCGACGAUCAGUAGCUGGUCUGAGAGGAUGAUCAGCCACACUGGGACUGGGACACGGCCCAGACUCCUACGGGAGGCAGCAGUGGGGAAUAUUGGACAAUGGGCGCAAGCCUGAUCCAGCCAUGCCGCGUGAGUGAUGAAGGCCUUAGGGUUGUAAAGCUCUUUUGUCCGGGACGAUAAUGACGGUACCGGAAUAAUAAGCCCCGGCUAACUUCGUG
rnacentral:rRNA from 1 species